UCUUAUUCAUAUUUUUCGUAAAUUUAAACAGUUGUUUUCCUUUCAGUUUAUUUUCAAAGCUUUAAUGUCUUUAUUGUUAAUUACUGUUUCGAUUUGUCUUUAAUUGUUACUAUCAGUAUAUCAGAUUGAUAAAAUUCGUUUCGUUUAUAAAUAUAUCUUGAGACCGAUUUUCGGACACUUAUAUCUGUGUGACGCCGCGACGAUGCGUCACCGUGGCGGCAGAGGGGCGCGGCGACAUCCCACGCUGACUUUCCAUGUUUCUAUGUAUCUUCUACAGUAAAUACGUAUGCAUCUAUUUUAUGUUUAUAAGUAUGAAAACACUGCACUGUACAAAACGCGCGGGCUCUGACCGCCGCAUCGACACGUGUUUGAUACGGUGUCUGAGCGAGACUAUUCUAUCGAUAGAUGGCGGGAGUUCGGUUUUAAAUAUUAACCUGUCAUAGUAAGAAGUUUAAUUUGAACAUUUAAAUAAAUUUAAUUUGCGCCAAAACAGCAUGGGAAACUUUUUGAAUCCUCUAAGAAGAGUUAGGUAUUGCUUGUCAUAAGCAUUUUUGAUAGCCUUAUAGGUCUAUUUUAUUGGUAUCGAUAUAAUAAGCAUUAUCAUAAACAACCUUUAAGAUAUUGGUGGGUACGCGGGGACAGCGGGACGAGUCUUGCACUACGGUCAGUUGUCAACUUGCAAUCCACUGGAACCGGCCAGGGAUUUAAGAAGUGCCUUUGCAAGAAAAACUGUGCUACAUCAAGAUGUCUGUGUUUUAAAAAUAAUGUAUUAUGUACUUCCAAAUGCCAUUCGAGCUUACCCUGCAAAAAUAAAUAGCUAUAUGGACUGACAAAGUAUUAUAAUAUAAAGAUUUACUUUUAUACUUUGACAUUUAUAAUUACUUAAUUAUCAGACUGAUUACUUGCCAAAUGAAAAUUUGAUUUUAUAAGAAUAAAUAUAAGUUGAUUUUGUGAUACGUUAAAAGUUAAUAGAUAGUUGAUUUUAGAAGUUUUAAUUAGUAAGAUAAUAUGAAUAUAUUAUUAUUAUUUUACGGUAUGACUGUUACCCGAUUGUCUCAAUAAGUGUUAUAAUAAAAAAACAUUAUUAA